rnacentral:ncRNA from 1 species
UGGGGACGUAGCAGACUCCCCUUUAGACGAUUCUCGUCCAAGUGCUGC